GGUGGUGUAGCUCAGUGGUGGAGCACUUUCUUAGAAUGCGCGAGCCCUGGGUUCCAUCCCCAGUUCCAUCA
rnacentral:tRNA from 1 species